rnacentral:lncRNA from 1 species
CUUUUUCAAGAAUUACUCUGUAUUUUUAUGGGAUUUUAAUUAUUGUAUUUAGUCAGCCGGUGUAACCAACUAGGUUAUUUUGGUUUUACUUGGUCCAAUCUGGUUGGUCCAGUUUUGCCACGACCAAAAACCACCGGAAGGGAUUUUUUAUUUUAAGUGUGGUACGAGAUCGUGCAUGUGAAAGGCUGACAGUUGAACCGCCC